AGAGCGAACGCUGGCGGCAGGCCUAAUACAUGCAAGUCGAACGGAUCCUUCGGGAUUAGUGGCGGACGGGUGAGUAACACGUGGGAACGUACCCUUUGGUUCGGAACAACUCAGGGAAACUUGAGCUAAUACCGAAUGUGCCCUUCGGGGGAAAGAUUUAUCGCCAUUGGAGCGGCCCGCGUCUGAUUAGCUAGUUGGUAGGGUAAAGGCCUACCAAGGCUACGAUCAGUAGCUGGUCUGAGAGGAUGAUCAGCCACACUGGGACUGAGACACGGCCCAGACUCCUACGGGAGGCAGCAGUAGGGAAUCUUGCGCAAUGGGCGAAAGCCUGACGCAGCCAUGCCGCGUGAAUGAUGAAGGUCUUAGGAUUGUAAAAUUCUUUCAGCGGGGACGAUAAUGACGGUACCCGCAGAAGAAGCCCCGGCUAACUUCGUGCCAGCAGCCGC
rnacentral:rRNA from 1 species